GUGCUCACUUUGACAGCGCAUAACUCCAAAACUGGAACAAUACAGAGAAGAGCAGCAUGGCCCCUGUUCAAGCAUGUCAUGCAAAUUUAUGAAGUGUAACACAUUUUU